ACAUGCAAGCCGAGCGGUAGAGUCUCUUCGGAGACUUGAGAGCGGCGUACGGGUGCGGAACACGUGUGCAACCUGCCUUUAUCAGGGGGAUAGCCUUUCGAAAGGAAGAUUAAUACCCCAUAAUAUAUUGAGUGGCAUCACUUAAUAUUGAAAACUCCGGUGGAUAGAGAUGGGCACGCGCAAGAUUAGAUAGUUGGUGAGGUAACGGCUCACCAAGUCAACGAUCUUUAGGGGGCCUGAGAGGGUGAUCCCCCACACUGGUACUGAGACACGGACCAGACUCCUACGGGAGGCAGCAGUGAGGAAUAUUGGACAAUGGGUGCGAGCCUGAUCCAGCCAUCCCGCGUGAAGGACGACGGCCCUAUGGGUUGUAAACUUCUUUUGUAUAGGGAUAAACCCAGAUACGUGUAUCUGGCUGAAGGUACUAUACGAAUAAGCACCGGCUAACUCCGUGCCAGCAGCCGCGGUAAUACGGAGGGUGCAAGCGUUAUCCGGAUUUAUUGGGUUUAAAGGGUCCGUAGGCUGAUUUGUAAGUCAGUGGUGAAAUCUCACAGCUUAACUGUGAAACUGCCAUUGAUACUGCAAGUCUUGAGUGUUGUUGAAGUAGCUGGAAUAAGUAGUGUAGCGGUGAAAUGCAUAGAUAUUACUUAGAACACCAAUUGCGAAGGCAGGUUACUAAGCAACAACUGACGCUGAUGGACGAAAGCGUGGGGAGCGAACAGGAUUAGAUACCCUGGUAGUCCACGCCGUAAACGAUGCUAACUCGUUUUUGGGGCGCAAGCUUCAGAGACUAAGCGAAAGUGAUAAGUUAGCCACCUGGGGAGUACGAACGCAAGUUUGAAACUCAAAGGAAUUGACGGGGGCCCGCACAAGCGGUGGAUUAUGUGGUUUAAUUCGAUGAUACGCGAGGAACCUUACCAAGGCUUAAAUGGGAAAUGACAGGUUUAGAAAUAGACUAUUCUUCGGACAUUUUUCAAGGUGCUGCAUGGUUGUCGUCAGCUCGUGCCGUGAGGUGUUAGGUUAAGUCCUGCAACGAGCGCAACCCCUGUCACUAGUUGCCAUCAUUAAGUUGGGGACUCUAGUGAGACUGCCUACGCAAGUAGAGAGGAAGGUGGGGAUGACGUCAAAUCAUCACGGCCCUUACGCCUUGGGCCACACACGUAAUACAAUGGCCAGUACAGAGGGCAGCUACACGGUGACGUGAUGCAAAUCUCGAAAGCUGGUCUCAGUUCGGAUUGGAGUCUGCAACUCGACUCUAUGAAGCUGGAAUCGCUAGUAAUCGCGCAUCAGCCAUGGCGCGGUGAAUACGUUCCCGGGCCUUGUACACACCGCCCGUCAAGCCAUGGAAGUCUGGGGUACCUGAAGUCGGUGACCGUAACAGGAGCUGCCUAGGGUUAGGCCU
rnacentral:rRNA from 1 species